rnacentral:ncRNA from 1 species
CAGAUAGAGGUGCGGUAACGAUCAGUAGCCCGUCGGCGCUUGUGCGCGUUUCCCGAACGCGCAGCCCUCGGUCGAAAGGCAAUACCGCCGAAGCCCGACGCUCGGGACGUCGCCGCUGACCGCCUGCCGAACAGGUAUGCGGUUGUCAUCAUGCUUUGUGAUGGAGUGCUAUCGG